CGCUCAUCUUCUUCUUUGGUCCAUGCACCUUUGUUGGUGUGAGCUUUCUCACAGCACGGGGACCUGCCCAUGUCUCUUUGGUGCUUCUUGGAGAGCUAGAUGACGGGUGUUGCAGUUGGCAGAAGUGGAGCUGAGCUGAGUCCAUGAGAUUUUGGUUGGUGGGAGAAAAAGGGCUUGGAGGGUCCCCCUGGUGACUUUAUUGGCCUGCCAUCUUCUCCUCUCUCUCUGUCUCCGUGUUGUGGCUGGAAGAUAUUUAUGGAUGUCAGGAUCUAUGAUAUUGGAAAAUUGAUCAAACACGAACAAGUCACUUUCCAGUAAUCCACAAGUGGAUAGAAAAAUGAAAGAGUUGGUCCUUUCUAGUGUUUAAGAUAAGCUGCUACAAACAUUGUUCAUGCUAGGGAGGUUAAUGUCAAACAAUUAGAGAAGCAAGUUACUGUGGAAAAGGACCUUUGAAAAUGUUCUACAACAACUUCAUUUUCUUAGGGAUCUCGUUUUCUGGAUGGUCAAGCUAAAAUUUGAAUGGCAUUCAUGAUUGAAAUUGUUGAUGAACUAAUGCAGACUUGAGAUAAGAGAGUUUUCUAUUUCAUAUAAACUCUAUACCAAAUUGAAAUUCCUAUCUGGCUAAUAGUCCAGUGUUUGAUCAUCUAUUUUAAUUUUAAUUAACAUUCUAUUUUGAAA